AGCUUUGCACAGUGGCAGCAUCGUAGCCAAUGAGGUUUAUCUGAGGCGCAAUUAUUGCUAAUUGAAAACUUUUCCCAAUACCCCACCAUGACAACUUGAAAUAUAGUCGGCAUUGGCAAUCUGUGACAGUCUCUAUGGAGA